GGAUUCAUCUAAAAUCCAAUAGGAUUUUUGUUUUUACCCAUAAGAUUCUAUAGGUCUACGAAAAUCCUAUAGGAUUUAUAUACAUUCCAAUAGGAUUUUCAUUGUCUCCUAUAAGAUUAGAAAAUCCUAUAGGAUUUACAAGAUUCCAGAGACAGCUGCGAGCGCAGCUAAGUUUGAAAUGAUUUUGGUUGUCAAGGGAAACAAACUGGACGUUGCAGUCGCAUAUCAACCGUUUUCAGGUAGCUAUUGUACUAGAGAUGUAGGCUAACUCGGGCUUGAUUAAAAAAAAAAACAACAACAAAAAACGUUCAAUUAACUUGCCGAAAUGUUUGCCUGUAAUACUGUCACUUCAAGGACCUCUUCAACGCGUUUACUAAUCGAUAUCCGACUUCUGAAGUGCUGCCGUAACUUUACCGUUAGCAAGUUUGCUAACGUGUGAAACGUAGCCUACCCAGCAAGCAGUCACGUCCUCAAGUUUCCUGCUGGAGUUGGGGCUGUCAAACCAUUCAAGUGGCCCAUGAUGACUGACUGAAAGGACAUUAUGGUUCAAGUAGGCCCGACAACAGAGAUCACAGACAACCACAAGAAGUGACCCCAGGAGGGGGACAGACCAUAUGUUGGCAGUUUUUGGAAGGCAGGUCCUAGCCACGCACUCAUAUACCGGAAAACCACCAGUAAAAUUCAACAAAAAAACCUCAUAAACUACUUCACAAACAAAUUUGAUGUGGACACUUCAAUGAUCAAGCAAGCAAUGGCACAGGACUGUUCAGAUGAGGCAAAAAUGACACCCACACAAUGAUCAAAUAAUGAAAUAAUAAAUAUAUUUCGCAUAUGACCAUUUCA